GUCCCUGUAGCGCAAUAGAUAGCGCAUUGGACAUCUGAUCCAAAAGUUGUAGGUUCGAAUCCUACCUGGGAUG
rnacentral:tRNA from 1 species